UACGUCGGGAGCAAGCGUUGUCCGGAUUUACUGGGCGUACAGGGCGCGUAGGCGGCGUGUUAAGUCAGCUGUGAAAUCUCCAAGCUCAACUUGGAACGGCCAGCUGAUACUGAUGUGCUAGAGUGCAGAAGGGGCAAUCGGAAUUCUUGGUGUAGCGGUGAAAUGCGUAGAUAUCAAGAGGAACACCUGAGGUGAAGACGGGUUGCUGGGCUGACACUGACGCUGAGGCGCGAAAGCCAGGGGAGCAAACGGG
rnacentral:rRNA from 1 species